GGAGGUCUGAAGUCUGAAACCAAGGCGUCAGUAAGUUUGGUUCCUUCUGGCUGCUCUGAGGAAGAAUCUGUUCCAUGUCUCUCUCCUAGAUCUUCGCAUUGCCAGCAAUCCAUGGCCUAUGGAUACGUCAUUCCAAUAUCUGCCUCUGUAUUCACAAAGCAUUCUCCCUGUGUGUCUCUUGUCUUUAUGUCUUCUCCUCUUCUUAUAAGGAUACCAGUCAUACUGACUGUAGGGCCACCGUAACCCAUUAUGACCUAAUCUUAACUUGAUUAUAUCUGCAAAGACCUUAUUUCCAAAAAAGGUCAUAUUCAUAGGUACAAGAGGUUAGGACUUCAACAUAUAUUUUGGGGAGACAAUUCAACCUAUAAAGCCUCGUGAAAGGGGAUGUUAAGUGGGCCGAUAGGUAUAUAAGGAUGACGUUCAGAAGAGAGGUCUGCUUUGGAGAUAUUAAUUUGGCAGUCAUAGAAAACCAGCCUAGGGACUAGAUGUAGAUAGAGAAUAGAAGGGGUACUAGGUUGAGCUCUGGGGCUGUUCAAUAUUUAGUGGUUUGUGGAAGAGAAGGAGCCGGCAUAGAAGACUGAGAAGAAGUGGUCAGUGAGGUAGAAAACCAGGAGAAUGUGGUGUCCAAGAAACUAAGAGGAGAGAAGUUUCAAGAUGGAAGUAGCGGUCAACCUUGCUGAGACGUGGCUCUCAGACCCAGCAGCAUGCAGACCAGUGGUGAUGCCAACACGAUUAAUUUCAGUGGAGCAGUGGGGAUGGAAGCUCACCCGGAGGGGCUGAAGAGAGGAUGUUGAGGGAGAAAGUCAGACAGCAGCUAUACACAACUCUUUCAAAUUCAAAAAGUUUUGCCAUGACACAUAGAAAAACUGGGUGACAACAGAGGGAAAUGCGGGUAAUGGGAGGGUUGUUUAUGUUGUAAAGCUGGAAUAUAUUAGAGAAUGUUUGUAUGAUGUUGAACAUGUUCUUCUAGUGAUGGAAGCAGAGACACUCAAUUCACUGUAUAAAGAGGGAAGGCAAAUCAUGGAGGACACAUACAGGUAGGGAAGUAGAGCUGGUGCCAGGAAAAUGAGGAAGCACUUCAAAUUGCUUUUCUUUUUUCCAUGAGGGAUGAGGCAAGGUCAUCAGCUGAAAGUGAGGGAUGAAGAGAGUGAAAGAUGUUUGAAGAGACAGAAGUUAGGAGGUAGAAGCUUUGAUCAUGUCGAAUAAAUAUGGGAAGACUACAGAACACUUCAGGUGAGCUUUGGCUCAGCUCCAAGCGUCUUUUUCACUCUAGGAUAGGACAUGCCAUUCUGUGGCACAGUAUAAAGAGGAUACUGUGAUGGCUCCUAAAGCUUCUGCUCUGAUCACUUCUGUUGCCAUUUGAUUGGCCAGCAAGUCACAUGACCAAAUCUGGUUGCAACAAGUUAUCACCUGUGGUACACGGAUGCAAAAGCUUUCGGAGAGGGGGUCCUAGCUUAUUGGAGUUAAUGAGCUGCCUACAUUGUGGGCAUGUGGUCCAAUUGAUACUGGCCCUGGGCAGGUUUGCACUUUUAAUCAUUAAUGCCCUGCAGCCUGCUGGAAGCAUGGAAAGAAACAGGCUGACUAGAACAUGCCAGAAGACAGAGGCAAAGCCACAGGGAAGGCUCCCACUGCCCAGGAGGUGCCUGCAUGAAGGCACAAGUGGAGCUCAGGGCCCUGUUGCUGGGCAGAAACCUUGCUGGUCCUGCCUCAAGGGAGGCAGGGAAACCUCUCCCUUGGGUAACCUCCAAUGUUAAACAUAUCAGCAGGGGCCAGGCAUAUCUCAGGCCUGAGUAGAGGCUUGCACAUCACUCACUCCAUCAUUCAUUCACUCAAAAAUAUAUAUUAAGUAUCAACUCCGUGCCAGCCCCUGGCUACAGUAAUAAACAAGACAGACAAGCUCUCUGCCCCUUCAGAGUUUCAUUUUAGUCUGCAAAAAAGAUAAUAAACAAGUUAAGGAAUAAAUCAGCAGACAAUAAACAAGUUAAGGAAUAGAUCAGCAUGAUAAGGUCAGCUAGUAAUAAGUGCUGUGGAGACAAUAAAAGAGUGAUGUGAUAAGAGUACUUAGGUGAGGGGUAAGCUCACACUAAGUUCUAGUCAGGGAUGCUAGGCAAAGCUGACAUUUAUGCUGAGAUUCGAGGCAUGGGAAGGAGCCAGCUUUGCAAAGUGCUGGAAGAAAAGCCUUCCAAGCAUUAGGAAUGACAGGUGCAAAGGCCCCAAGGCAAGGAAAGGCCACAGUUAUUUGAGGAAGAGAAAGGAGACAGGCGUGGCUGAAGCUUGACGAGCAGGAUGGAGAAUGACUGGAGAUGAGGUUGGAGAGUUGAAUAAAGCUUAGGUUGAGAGUUGAAUAAAGCUUAGGUUAUACGAAGUUUUGUAAAGCCAAGUAUAUCAGUCAAAAGACACUCAGGAAAAAUCAGAAAUCACUCUAGAUUUUUCCAGUAGGAGGAAUUUAGUUUGAGGAAUUGGUAACAAACAUGUGGGAAGGGCUAGAGGAGCAAAAAGAGGGAGAUGAGGUUAUCCAAAGAUUAGUGAUUGCAGGAAAUCACACUAUCAGCCCUGAGGUUAGAAGAGCAAGAUCAGAAAUGAGGACAAUUGGACACCUGGGUGGCUCAGUCAGUUAAGCGUCUGACUUCCACUCAGGUCAUGAUCUCACGAUCCCUAAGUUCAAGCCCCGCAUCAGGUUCUGUACUGACAGCUCAGAGCCUGGAGUCUGCUUCGGAUUCUGUGUCUCCUGCUCUCUCUGCCUCUCCCUAGCUCUCUCUCUCUGUCCGUCUGUCUCUCUCUCAAAUAUAAAACUGCUCUACCACUGAGGCGGUUAUUAGGAACCCUGUGAGCUAGAACCUGAGCACAAGCUUUGUUAUUAGGUUCAGGAGGAUAAUGUAUGUAAAAUACUCAGCAUAGUGCUCAGCACUUAGUAAGGUCUCCAUAGACGUGAGCUAUGUUAUGAAGCCACACUCCAAGUACAAUCAACAUUACAUGGGAGAUGCCCAGCCUUUUAAAUGAGAUAUAGGAGAUCUUAGCACAUGGAAAAGUUGGGAACCAAAGGUUUUAGGAGAGCUCAGUUUAGACAAAUUGAUAGAAUCACAGAAUCUCCAUUUCCAGUAUUCUCCCACAGGACUCGCGCAAAAGACCUCUGCUAUGCUGUUUCUGCAAGCUCUGCUCGGACCGAAGUGGGAAAUCCAAAGCAUUCAACAGAGCAUGAUGGAGGUUGAAGGCGUGUGGUGGAGCAGUGAGGUGCCAGAGGAGAUAAUGAGCACUUGUUCCAGUUAUCUAUUGCUGUGUAGCAAAAGCUUAGAGCUUAAAACAAUCAUUUUUUUUUAUGUUUAUCAUUCUCUGGAUCAAGAAUUUGGAUGGGGCACGGUGUGGGGAUGGUUGUUUCCGUUUCUCAAUGUCUGAGGCCUCAGCUGAUAAGAUUAAAAGGAUAUGGGUCUCUCAACAGUUUGGGGCUAGAAUCCCCAAAGGCUCAUUUACUCACAUAUCUGGUGCUUGGGCUGGAUUGACUUGAAGAUCAGUACAGUUUUGGUUUAAGAUUUUUAUUAUUUAUUUAUUUAUUUAUUUGGGGGAGAGAAAGAGAAAGAGAGAGAGAGAGAAAGAGGAAGAGAGGGGCAGAAAGAGGGAGACAGAGGAUCCAAGAGUCCGCUGUGGGGCUUGAAUUCAUGAACCAUGAGAUUAUGACCUGAGCUCAAGUCAGAUGCUUAACCGACUGAGCCACCCAGGCACCCUGACCUGAAGAUUAGGACUGGAGACCAGAGUGCCUACACAUGACCUCUCUAAGUGCUCUGGCUUCCUCACAACAAGGUGAUUGCAUGGUAGUUGGACUUCCUACAUGGUGACUCAGGGCUCUAAACAUGAGUUUUUCAGCUAACAAGGUGGCAGCUACAUCUCCUCUCAUCACAAAGCCAAGGAAGUUUCUCAGCACUACUUCCACUGUAAUCUAGAAUGUAUAAGGGAGCCCUCAGGACUCAAAGGGAGGGAAAGUAUACUCUGCCUCUUGACGGGGGAACAGCAAAGUCUAAAAAAGCAUGUGGGGUGGGAGAUAGUAUCGGACCAAUUCUGGAAAAUAUAAUCUGCCACAGGCCUGCAGGCUAGAAUUCACACUUUCCAUGGGCCUGGGACCUUGCCAGCCAUCUUAGGAAGAGAACUUCUGAGCUCCCUGAGAAAGAUGGGGCCAAAGGCACAUGCCCCUCUCUAUGCCCUACCUUCUCCUCCAGAGGAAGUCUCCCCAAAACCCAAAAAGGGAGGAGAUCUGUCGCCCAGAAUAAGUCUUCAUAGAGUCUGCUGUUGAAAACUCAGGGGACAUAUGUCACCUUAGAGAGCAAGAGAGCUAGAAACUGUGCUAGGGAGUCUCAUAACAAUUGACCCUGGACAGUGAUGAUGAUAGAGAUGAUAAGAUAUUUACUGAGUGCCUAUUUGGGACCAGGCACUUGAGUAUAUCUUUUCCAUUUAAGCUUCCAAAGGAAAUGUAGAGCCUUAAAUGCAUGUCAGAAAGCAAGAUGAUUGAAAAUUAAUGAGCUAAGGAUAUAUCUUAAUAAGUUAGAAAAAAAUACAGCAAAAUAAACUCAAAUAAUGUAGAAGGAAAUAGCAAGAUAAAAAAUAGAAAUUGAAGAAACAGAAACCAAAUAUGCAGUAGAGAAGAUCAGCCAAGCCAAAAGCCAAUUCUGUGAAAACCGAUGAAUUUCUCAUGAUAGUGACCAAGAAAAACUUGAAAGAAAAAAAAAUAAACAAUUUCAGAAUGAAAAAGAGGGAUUUAAAAAAAAAUUUUUUUUUAAAGAUGGGGGCACCUGAGUG